GGAGCCGACGGAGAUCAGCUGGGAGAGCGCGUGAAUCGCACUCACGAGGCCAGGGGUUCGAAUCCCCUCGGGUCCACCA
rnacentral:tRNA from 1 species